rnacentral:rRNA from 1 species
UCCGUUGGUGAACCAGCGGAGGGAUCAUUACCGAGUGUAAAAACUCCCAAACCAUUGUGAACUUACCACUGUUGCUUCGGCGGCCUCGCCCCGGGCGCGUUCGCGCGGCCCGGACCCAGGCGUCCGCCGGAGGCUCCAAACUCUUGUCUUUUAGUGUAUUUCUGAGUGGCAUAAGCAAAUAAAUCAAAACUUUCAGCAACGGAUCUCUUGGUUCUGGCAUCGAUGAAGAACGCAGCAAAAUGCGAUAAGUAAUGUGAAUUGCAGAAUUCAGUGAAUCAUCGAAUCUUUGAACGCACAUUGCGCCCGCCAGUAUUCUGGCGGGCAUGCCUGUCUGAGCGUCAUUUCAACCCUCAGGACCCGUUCGCGGGACCUGGCGUUGGGGAUCAGCCUGCCCCUGGCGGCGGCUGGCCCUGAAAUCCAGUGGCGGUUCCCUCGCGAACUCCUCCGUGCAGUAAUUAAACCUCUCGCGGCAGGAUAGCGGUUGAACCACGCCGUUAAACCCCCCACUUCUCAGGGUUGACCUCAGAUCAGGUAGGAAUACCCGCWGAACUUAAGCAUAUCAAUAAGCGGAGGA